UCAACCAUGACCUUCAUCUCCAUCUUCAUCUGCACACUGGCUCUCUGCACUCAAGGAUCCAGAGGUCAGGUGACUGUGACUCAGAGUCCUGCAGUAAAACAUGUUGAUCCAGGAGCUUCAGUCACCAUCAACUGUAAAACAAGUUCUAAUGUUUAUCGAGAUGGUAAUGGAGAUUGGCUACACUGGUAUCAGCAGAAACCUGGAGAAGCUCCUAAACUCUUGAUCUACUGGACUAACAACAGAGCAUCAGGUAUUCCAGAUCGUUUCAGUGGCAGUGGAUCUGGAUCUGACUUCACUCUGACCAUCAGUAGAUUUGAGACUGGAGAUGCAGGAGAUUAUUACUGUCAGAGUUACCAUGUUAUCAGUAGUAGUGGUGUCUUC